CAAGUUACCAACAACUCUUUGAUAGUUACGAACAUUUGUCCAGCUGUCGCUAGUAUACAUAUAAAUGUCACCGCAUAAUACUUUUGCAAAGAUUAGCAAAAAUGAUUGAGCCGCGCAGUCAUUUGGACUUUGCAAACCCACAGAUCUGAGUUCACGCACUGCGAUCGCACAUAUAUACACAUAUACAGUUAAACUCACAUUCCCGCAUCACACAAGUGAUUAAGAAUCUUGAAAGAGAAACAGUUAAAAAUAGUGAUUCGGACGCCGGGUCUUGCUGUAAGCGUUGGCCAAAUAGGCAUAGUUCUUAACGGUCCUUUAUAUCUGUAUUUUUAAAAUGCGAUGACCAAAUACUGGCAGUAUUAGCAGAUUUACAGCAAAUUUGACCAAAUGUUUCUGUUCCAUAUUUUUGCUGUAUUAUAUUACAAUGUGUAAUAUUACAACAUUGUUACAAUAUAACUGCCCAAUUUUGCGCUGUAUGGGAUAUGCGACAAAGCCUUCAAAAUAUCAGCGCAGUGUAAAAAUUCAUGCAGUAUUACAAUGAAAAUUGCGGAAGUUAUUGAUUUAUAAUAUGGAGAAAUGCGUCAAUUUCAUUACGACGAUGCGACGCGACAUCGCGAAAUAUCUCCCUCUUCUUCUCUCUCUCUUAUCGCGGGAGUCCUUGAAGUUCUCCAGGUCGAAAGAGAGGGGAAUCGUGCACCAGGCUCUACGCUAUGCAUCGAUAGACCUGCAUGUAAUUGUAUUUUUUUAAUAAAACAAAAAAAUGAAGUUAAUCUUC